GACGAACGCUGGCGGCGUGCUUAACACAUGCAAGUCGAACGGAAAGGCCCUGCUUUUGUGGGGUGCUCGAGUGGCGAACGGGUGAGUAACACGUGAGUAACCUGCCCUUGACUUUGGGAUAACUUCAGGAAACUGGGGCUAAUACCGGAUAGGAGCUCCUGCUGCAUGGUGGGGGUUGGAAAGUUUCGGCGGUUGGGGAUGGACUCGCGGCUUAUCAGCUUGUUGGUGGGGUAGUGGCUUACCAAGGCUUUGACGGGUAGCCGGCCUGAGAGGGUGACCGGCCACAUUGGGACUGGGAUACGGCCCAGACUCCUACGGGAGGCAGCAGUGGGGAAUAUUGCACAAUGGGCGGAAGCCUGAUGCAGCAACGCCGCGUGCGGGAUGACGGCCUUCGGGUUGUAAACCGCUUUCGCCUGGGACGAAGCGUGAGUGACGGUAAUGGGUAAAGAAGCACCGGCUAACUACGUG
rnacentral:rRNA from 1 species